UCAUUGCUGGAACAAACGCCCUCACGGGUGCUACCCAGAAACCCCCUGUGAAUUAUACCUAAAAAAAACUGUUGCCUCGGCUUUUGGUUGGCUCCCUCGGGAGUCCCUUCGCAAGAAGGAGCAGACCGGCCGGUGGCCCCAUAAACUCUUGUUUUUGUAACAUCAUCUGAGUAAAAAAACAACUAAAUGAAUCAAAACUUUCAACAACGGAUCUCUUGGUUCUGGCAUCGAUGAAGAACGCAGCGAAAUGCGAUAAGUAAUGUGAAUUGCAGAAUUCAGUGAAUCAUCGAAUCUUUGAACGCACAUUGCGCCCGGUGGUAUUCCACCGGGCAUGCCUGUUCGAGCGUCAUUUCAACCCUCAAAGCCCCGGCUUUGGUGUUGGAGGAAUACCUGUAACAGGGUACCCUCUAAAAUUUAGUGGCGGGCUCGCUAGAAUUUUGAGCGUAGUAAUUUUACCUCGUUUUUAAAAGACUAGUGGGACUUUCUAGCCAUAAAACCCCCCAACUUUCUGAAAUUUGACCU
rnacentral:rRNA from 1 species